GUGUCAGCCGCCGCGGUAAUACGUAGGGUGCAGGCGUUAAUCGGAAUUACUGGGCGUGAAGCGUGCGCAGGCGGUUUCUUAAGUCAGAUGUGAAAGCCCCGGGCUUAACCUGGGAACUGCGUUUGAAACUGGGAGACUCGAGUGUGGCAGAGGGGAGUGGAAUUCCACGUGUAGCAGUGAAAUGCGUAGAUAUGUGGAGGAACACCGAUGGCGAAGGCAGCCCCCUGGGUCAACACUGACGCUCAUGCACGAAAGCGUGGGGAGCAAACAGGAUUACAAACCCUCGUAGUCC
rnacentral:rRNA from 1 species